UCGCCACCUUAAAUACGCAUAUGGGCGAUUAACAGGAAGUUUUCCCAGUGAUAACUUCAUCAAGAUGUCCAGUGAUAGGCAAAGGUCGGAUGAUGAGAGCCCCAGCACCAGCAGUGGCAGUUCAGAUGCAGACCAGCGAGACCCUGCCGCUCCAGAGCCAGAGGAACAGGAAGAAAGAAAACCUUCUGCCACGCAGCAGAAGAAAAACACCAAACUCUCUAGCAAAACCUCUGCUAAGUUAUCCACUAGUUCUAAAAGAAUUCAGAAGGAGCUAGCAGAAAUAACCCUUGAUCCUCCUCCUAACUGCAGUGCUGGGGCUAAAGGAGAUAACAUUUAUGAAUGGAGGUCGACUAUACUUGGUCCACCAGGUUCUGUAUAUGAAGGUGGUGGUUUUUUUCUGGAUAUCACGUUUUCAUCAGAUUAUCCAUUUAAGCCACCAAAGGUUACUUUCCAUACCAGAAUCUAUCACUGCAACAUCAACAGUCAGGGUGUCAUCUGCCUGGAUAUUCUAAAGGACAACUGGAGUCCUGCUUUGACUAUUUCCAAGGUUUUGCUCUCUAUUUGUUCCCUUUUGACAGACUGCAAUCCUGCGGAUCCUCUGGUUCGAAGCAUAGCCACUCAGUAUUUGACCAACAGAGCAGAACAUGACAGGAUAGCCAGACAGUGGACCAAGAGAUACGCAACAUAAUUCAUAUAAUUUGUAUCAGUGUGAAGGAGCAGAAGGCCUCUUCUCACUGUGCUGCAGAUCUUUAUAGCCUUUACAAUACGGACUUCUGUGUAUAUGUUAUACUGAUUCUACUCUCUGCUUUUAUCCUUUGGAGACUGGGAGA